rnacentral:rRNA from 1 species
UACGUAGGGUGCAAGCGUUGUCCGGAAUUAUUGGGCGUAAAGAGCUCGUAGGCGGCUAAGUAAGUCGGGUGUGAAAACUCCAGGCUCAACCUGGAGACGCCACCUGAUACUGCUUUGGCUAGAGUCCGGUAGGGGAGCAUGGAAUUCCUGGUGUAGCGGUGAAAUGCGCAGAUAUCAGGAGGAACACCAGUGGCGAAGGCGGUGCUCUGGGCCGGAACUGACGCUGAGGAGCGAAAGCGUGGGGAGCAAACAGG